CCCCCACUCCAAGGGGACCAGGGGCGCUUCCGGUGCGUCACUUCCGCCUCGGGCCGCGGGGCGGGGCCCCGAAGGGGCGGAGCCUGCGCCGUGGUCCGCGGCGGGAUCAGCUAGGGGUGCGAGUUGUCCCAGUAGUGGUGCGACCCGGAGGUGUCCAUCCCGGACAGGCGACCUUUGGAGGCCCUCUGACCCGAGGCCGGCAGGGACCGGAGGGCGAGGGAGCCCUGUCCGUUAUAGUGCAGUCCGCCGGCGCGGUUUUCUUGGCUCGCCUUCUGACGCGGGCCGGGGAGAGUAGUGUUGCCUGGCGAGUGUGGACGCGACGUGUUUCAGAGCGUCGUCGUUUGUGGAGAAUCAGGUCUGGUUUGGAAUCUAAGGGUUGCAAAGUAGAUGCAGAAACUGCAGGAAAAGCUAAGCAAAACCCUGUUCCCGAAACGCUGUCCUACAACAUACAAAACAGUCUCAUCCCUAGGUCACCAGUGCAACUACUGAAAAUGAACCUACCAGCGACUGGAAUGCCUAGGUUUCCGGUCCAUGCCCACAGGAGGGGAGUUACCGUGACCUGUGCUAGAAGGGCUCCUGGUGACAGCAGCAUGCAUCAGAAGGCCAUUUCCAGAGCAUAGAACACAGUCAAGAAAACAUGGCGCUGGGCGUGCUUCCGCCAUGUUCUGUAAGCCUGCCAGACAGCCUCUUCUCAGCAGAGGCUACUUCUCCACGGACAUGCAGGGUCUUGGAUGGAGAGAGAUGCUACUGGCUUCACUUCCCCCUGGAUCCAUGUGUUCUUCCCAGCUCACGUCCUCUCUGACACUUGGGUCUUUUGAUGGCUUUAGUAUCGCCAAUGGAAGCUGUAGUCAAGGGCUAUUUCUGUUGACUGGCCCACGAGGCAGGUCCCACAUUCAGAAUUUGAGGAGUGGAUUCCUGUCUUAGCCCAUAGUGUUGAUUAAACCAGGAGUUUGGGAAGGAGUUCGGCUUCUCUGAAUUUUUCCCACGUUGACGAAUGUGUUAUUUGUGUUGGGAAAUCAACAUGACCUGCUUCCCAACAGCCUUGGCUGUUCUCUCUCUGCAGCUCCGGUAAGAGAGGAUAAGCCAGACAGAUGGAACAUUCUAGAGGCUACACAAACUCCUCCAACACACCUUGUGUGCCUGUCCACUGAUGUGCUAGGAAGAGCAGGCCUGGAUGCUCUUGGGAGCACGGCUUCCACUGUGUGUCUUUAGCUCCUGAUGAACCCCUAACCUUGAAUGACCUCUGGCUCCGCCAUGUUGUAGGCUUGUGUGUAUAUGUGAAUGUCUUCCCCAAGAAAAUGUUAGAAAUUGCAUGGUGGGGAUCCCCUCCCAGGCAGCAGGGAGGGAGCCCUCAGGGGGCACUGGCUCAUCCUGGAGGCCGGAAGGAGGCACGCUCAGGGGGCCGAAGUGUCUUCGGGGUUGUUAGCCGAUAUGUGGGUGAGGACCAGAUAGGGUGAGUCAUCUCAGGAAAUGGAAUACUGUGCGCACUCGUGUUAGGGUUGACUUUCUAGUAUUGAUCCAUGAGGAUUUAGCAAACUGUUUGCCUCUGCUCUUCUGGAAGAUAAACACGGAAAACCCCAUGUGAUCACAAGGAUGAGGUUAAGGGUCAUUGACCAAGGGGAAAUAGUGCCAGCCUGUCCUCUCCUUCGUGGCACGCCACCCUUGAGGUGCCAAGCCUGCAGGGGUCAGGAUGACGAGUAGAAAGAGCAGGAUUUGGAAGUGAUGAGGCCAGGGUUUCAGCGACAGCUCCGUCACUGACCGGGCUCAGAUGGCUGUCCCUUCUGGAGGGUUGGUGUUUACCUCUGCAGAAUGAAGUCUAACAAAGCUCGUGGAGUCACUGCAAGGAUUUAAUACAAUAAUGUGGUCAAAGUGCUCAGUAAACUGUAAGCGCUCAAGAAGUGAGAGCACUCAGUAUCUGACCUAAAAUGACACUUUGUUUUUCAAGGCAGCUAAGAGGAAAGACACUCGAUGAGACUCAGGGCUUCCUCUUCGGUUCCGUUGGCGUCUGGGGUCCUAGGUGUCGUUCCUCUUUCCACAUAAUUGAGGUGAAGUUAUAAAGCCGCAGUUUUGCUGGAAGCUCAGAAGAGACACACUGUUUGUUCUUGUUGUUUGUUUGCGGGGGAGGAUGAGAUAAGAUCUUGCGUCCUUCUGCCCAGGGAAGCGAGCUGUACGUAGGUUCUAGAAGAUUGUGAACGGUGAGGUGCCGGAAAUGUCAGACAGAAUCCCACGGGGCCGAGGCCCGGGAGGCGGUGUGACCGCUACAGGCAAAGCCACCAAUGGGGCCCAUGCGGGUGUGUGACAUUUUAGGAGCUGCUGGUGGCGUCUGGGGCUUGGUCCGCACCCCCCGCCCCUCUACAGAAACAGCAACUGGCAUUUUUGACUCCGCGGUUUAUGAUAAAGGAAGUGGGUAUAGGACGGAAAAUACGAAGUUCGUGAUGGUGUUGAUGACGGUGUUGAUGUUGGUGUAAAUGCUGGUUCAAGGACCUCACAUGUUACACAUUUCCACGCUUGCCCCUUCCUGCCGUGCCCCUCGGGUUUAAAACCUCUGCAUGCCCUUGGGCUCUUCCCUUGCUGUGCCCGUCACAUCCCAGAGGCGCUGUCCGCAGCCCAGGCAUGUCUGUGUCCCUUCCUCAUCCACUCCACCAGCCUGGGUUGGGUGCUCUUUGCCUGGAAAAUCAGCGUGGAUUUUCCCUGAAGCAGAGCCU
rnacentral:lncRNA from 1 species